UACGGAGGGGGCUAGCGUUGUUCGGAAUUACUGGGCGUAAAGCGCACGUAGGCGGCUUGUAAGUUAGAGGUGAAAGCCUGGAGCUCAACUCCAGAACUGCCUUUAAGACUGCAUCGCUUGAAUCCAGGAGAGGUGAGUGGAAUUCCGAGUGUAGAGGUGAAAUUCGUAGAUAUUCGGAAGGAACACCAGUGGCGAAGGCGGCUCACUGGACUGGUAUUGACG
rnacentral:rRNA from 1 species